GCAGACCCUGACGAGGCGCUAACGUCAUAAAACAAUCCUCGGAUUGAUGAAGCGUGUUGCUCACCAACUGUUUCUCUGCCCUCAGCUUGUAUUGGUUGGCUUCCUGUCUCCUUUGAAGGUAUUCUUCACGAGCUGCGGCCACACUGAAACCUGGUAAGGUUCGACCGGAGGGACCACGUAGUCUUCACAUGGCUCACUGGGAGGAAGAGGAGGAUGAAGAGCUGGAGGAGGAUAAACGUCCCCCCUGUGGAGGGCAUCCAACCGGGCAAAAUAUUGCUGGUACUGUCCAAUCCUGUACAGGCUGAGGAAGGUGUCCUGCUCUGUGGGGCUGAGUGGACAUCACAAAAACAGACAGCUCAAUAAAUGCCUACAGGAAAAUGUGUUAAGCAA